rnacentral:sRNA from 1 species
AUUUGUUCGCGUUAAGGAUUGAAAUGACAUCCUUUUUCUUUUUCAGAAAAAGAUAUAAUGUAAAGCCUGACCCCCG